rnacentral:tRNA from 1 species
CAGGSAGUAGUUKAAUUAAAAUUUCGGCUUUGGGAGCCGAGGAUGAAGGGUAGGCCCCUUUUUCUCUGA